GGGCCCGCACAAGCGGUGGAGCAUGUGGUUUAAUUCGAUGAUACGCGAGGAACCUUACCAGGGCUUAAAUGCAGUCUGACAGGAGUGGAAACACUCUCUUCUUCGGACAGAUUGCAAGGUGCUGCAUGGUUGUCGUCAGCUCGUGCCGUGAGGUGUCAGGUUAAGUCCUAUAACGAGCGCAACCCCUUUCGUUAGUUGCCAGCGAGUCAUGUCGGGAACUCUAGCGAGACUGCCGGUGCAAACCGUGAGGAAGGUGGGGAUGACGUCAAAUCAUCACGGCCCUUACGUCCUGGGCCACACACGUGCUACAAUGGUAGGGACAGAGGGCAGCUACCCCGCGAGGGGAUGCGAAUCUUCAAACCCUAUCACAGUUCGGAUAGGAGUCUGCAACUCGACUCCUUGAAGUUGGAGUCGCUAGUAAUCG
rnacentral:rRNA from 1 species